rnacentral:rRNA from 1 species
UACGAAGGGGGCUAGCGUUGCUCGGAAUGAUUGGGCGUAAAGGGCGCGUAGGCGGAUGGCUUUGUCGGGCGUGAAAUUCCAGGGCUUAACCUUGGGUGUACGUUCGAGACGGGUUGUCUGGAGUGGGGAAGAGGGUCGUGGAAUUCCCAGUGUAGAGGUGAAAUUCGUAGAUAUUGGGAAGAACACCGGUGGCGAAGGCGGCGACCUGGGCCUUUACUGACGCUGAGGCGCGAAAGCGUGGGGAGCAAACAGG